rnacentral:rRNA from 1 species
AUAUGAGUUUGAUCCUGGCUCAGGAUGAACGCUGGCGGCGUGCCUAAUACAUGCAAGUCGAGCGAACGGAUAAGGAGCUUGCUCCUUUGAAGUUAGCGGCGGACGGGUGAGUAACACGUGGGUAACCUACCUAUAAGACUGGGAUAACUUCGGGAAACCGGAGCUAAUACCGGAUAACAUUUAGAACCGCAUGGUUCUAAAGUGAAAGAUGGUUUUGCUAUCACUUAUAGAUGGACCCGCGCCGUAUUAGCUAGUUGGUAAGGUAACGGCUUACCAAGGCGACGAUACGUAGCCGACCUGAGAGGGUGAUCGGCCACACUGGGACUGAGAUACGGCCCAGACUCCUACGGGAGGCAGCAGUGGGGAAUAUUGGACAAUGGGCGAAAGCCUGAUCCAGCCAUGCCGCGUGUGUGAAGAAGGCUUUCGGGUUGUAAAGCACUUUCAGUGAGGAGGAAAACUCUGCGACUAAUACUCGUAGGGCUUGACGUUACUCACAGAAGAAGCACCGGCUAACUCCGUGCCAGCAGCCGCGGUAAUACGGAGGGAGCUAGCGUUAUUCGGAAUUACUGGGCGUAAAGCGCGCGUAGGUGGUUUGAUAAGCGAGAUGUGAAAGCCCCGGGCUUAACCUGGGAACGGCAUUUCGAACUGUCAGGCUAGAGUAUGGUAGAGGGUAGUGGAAUUUCCUGUGUAGCGGUGAAAUGCGUAGAUAUAGGAAGGAACACCA